CCUACGGGAGGCAGCAGUGAGGAAUAUUGGUCAAUGGGCGCAAGCCUGAACCAGCCAUCCCGCGUGCAGGAAGACGGCCCUAUGGGUUGUAAACUGCUUUUCCAGGGAGAGAAACUUACGCACGUGUUGCGUGACUGACGGUACCCUGGGAAUAAGCAUCGGCUAACUCCGUGCCAGCAGCCGCGGUAAUACGGAGGAUGCAAGCGUUAUCCGGAUUCAUUGGGUUUAAAGGGUGCGUAGGCGGGCUAUUAAGUCAGUGGUGAAAUCCUGCAGCUUAACUGCAGAACUGCCGUUGAUACUGAUAGUCUUGAGUUUGGUUAAGGUAGGCGGAAUGUGUAAUGUAGCGGUGAAAUGCUUAGAUAUUACACAGAACACCAAUUGCGUAGGCAGCUUACUGAGCCGACACUGACGCUGAGGCACGAAAGCGUGGGGAUCAAACAGGAUUAGAUACCCUGGUAGUCCACGCCGUAAACGAUGAUUACUCGCUGUUGGCGAUACACUGUCAGCGGCUAAGCAAAAGCAAUAAGUAAUCCACCUGGGGAGUACGGCCGCAAGGUUGAAACUCAAAGGAAUUGACGGGGGCCCGCACAAGCGGAGGAACAUGUGGUUUAAUUCGAUGAUACGCGAGGAACCUUACCUGGGCUUAAAUGUAGAGUGCAUUUUCUAGAGAUAGAAAUUCCCUUCGGGGCUUUCUGCAAGGUGCUGCAUGGUUGUCGUCAGCUCGUGCCGUGAGGUGUCGGGUUAAGUCCCAUAACGAGCGCAACCCUUAUCGUUAGUUGCCAGCUGGUAAAGCAGGGGACUCUAGCGAAACUGCCACCGUAAGGUGAGAGGAAGGUGGGGAUGACGUCAAAUCAGCACGGCCCUUAUGUCCAGGGCUACACACGUGUUACAAUGGCCGGUACAGAG
rnacentral:rRNA from 1 species